rnacentral:rRNA from 1 species
GAUGAACGCUGGCGGCGUGCCUAAUACAUGCAAGUCGAACGAACAUAUAAGGAGCUUUCCCUUUUAACGAUAGCAGCUGACGGUUAAUUAACGACUGGUUAACCUACCUUUAAGACUGGGAUAACUUCGGGAAACCGACGCUAAUACCGGGUCAUAAUUCGAACCUGAUGUUUCCAUAUGGCAACAUGUGUUUAUUAUAGCUUAUUCAUGGACCCGCGCCGUAUUAUCUAGUUGGUAAGGUAACGGCUUAACAACGCGACGAUACUUCGCCGACAUGCGGGGGUGAUGGGCCACAAUGGAACUGAGGCACGGUCAAGACUCCUACGGGAGGCAGCAGUAGGGAAUCUUCCGCAAUGGACGAAAGCAUGACGGAGAAACGCCGCGAGAGUGAUGAAGGUAUGCGGAUCGAAAAACUCUGUUAUUAGGGAAGAAAAUACGUGUAAGUAACUGUGCACGUCGUGACGGUACCUAAUCAGAAAGCCACGGCUAACUACGUG